UACGAAGGGUGCUAGCGUUGUUCGGAAUCACUGGGCGUAAAGCGCGCGUAGGCGGCCAAUCAAGUCAGGGGUGAAAUGCCGGGGCUCAACUCCGGAACUGCCUUUGAAACUGAUUGGCUGGAAGAUGAGAGGGGAUAGCGGAAUUUCUGGUGUAGAGGUGAAAUUCGUAGAUACCAGAAGGAACACCGGUGGCGAAGGCGGCUAUCUGGCUCAUUCUUGACGCUCUGGCGCGAGAGCGUGGGGAUCAAACAGG
rnacentral:rRNA from 1 species